UUUCCAAAAAAGCUCAACUAUCACCUACAAAUGCACAAAACACGAAACAAACCAUUUGCCCAAACUAGUAAAGGAGAUUAAACAU
rnacentral:rRNA from 1 species